GCUUCCUUCCACCCUCUAACCUCACUCCCCUCUCCAUUGAAGCCUUAAGAGUGAAGCACCUCACCGGAUCACUGUAGCGGCGACGAUCAAACUAGGGAGGAGCUCUUCAUUUCGUCAUCAACCUAGAGGACCACCGUGAGGAAUUUAUUUGGAUCUCAAUUGGGAUUAGACUUUUGUCAAAUGAGGAGCAGUAAACCCAGGGAUCUUAGAAGGCUUCCAGUAGAUGCCUUCUUUGGAAUUAUGUUCUGUGGCUUAUGUCUUUGCAUUUGUUGUAUUAUUGUUUAAGAACCUCUUUGUAGGUCGUGCUGUAUUUCAUUCGCCUUGUAUUUGGGUUUGGUUGU